UACGGGGGGAGCAAGCGUUGUUCGGAUUUACUGGGCGUAAAGGGCGCGUAGGCGGCCACUGCAAGUCGGUUGUGAAAUCUCCGGGCUUAACCCGGAAAGGUCAACCGAUACUGCAGGGCUAGAGUGCGGAAGGGGCAACUGGAAUUCUCGGUGUAGCGGUGAAAUGCGUAGAUAUCGAGAGGAACACCUGCGGCGAAGGCGGGUUGCUGGGCCGACACUGACGCUGAUGCGCGAAAGCCAGGGGAGCGAACGGG
rnacentral:rRNA from 1 species